rnacentral:rRNA from 1 species
GCCUAACACAUGCAAGUCGGACGAGUCCACACCUUCGGGUGUGAGGCGAGUGGCGGACGGGUGAGUAACACGUGAGCAAUCUAUCCUGUUGCGGGGGACAACGAGGGGAAACCUUCGCUAAUACCGCAUGGUCAAGAGACCUUAUGGGUCUUUUGGGAAACGUGGCCUCUUUACAAUGCUACGGCGACGGGAGGAGCUCGCGGGCUAUCAGCUUGUUGGUGAGGUAACGGCUCACCAAGGCGACGACGGCUACGGGGUCUGAGAGGACGACCCCGCACAUUGGAACUGAGACACGGUCCAGACUCCUACGGGAGGCAGCAGUGGGGAAUAUUGGGCAAUGGCCGAAAGGCUGACCCAGCGACGCCGCGUGUGGGAGGAAGCCCUUCGGGGUGUAAACCACUGUCAGGAGGGACGAAAGCGUUCACGGUGAAUAAUCGUGAGCAGUGACGGUACCUUCAAAGGAAGCACCGGCUAACUCUGUGCCAGCAGCCGCGGUAAU